CUUCACUGACGACUCCCCGUUUGGGCCCUCGUGUCCGGGCCACCGAGACCUGGCGAUGGAACCGAGGAUCUGAGGAA